ACUAGGGGAGCGCAGGCCAAGGACGCCAAGUCCUGAAAGUGCCUGCAUGACCAACAUCCUGUUGG
rnacentral:sRNA from 1 species